GGGGCGCUUCCCUCCUGGCGUCCUUUCUCCUGAUCCCGCCUCUCAGCUGUCAGAGAUCUGACCCGGGGAACUGUGCACCCAGAACUACUGCUCCGGAUUUCGGAGGAGGUGGGAAAGGAGUCCUCUCACUGCCCCACAUUCCACGGCUUUGGAGAUUCCUCGAUGGCAUCCGCAUCCCUCUGUGAGCCAGGGUUGUACUAGGAAUGAUCACGGAUCAGGGAGGGGUAUCCUUUUCAUCCGCGGAGGAGAGAGGGACUCCCCGCACCCUACACCUGACUGCGGCGGGGUGUGUGCGUGUGUGUGCGCGUUUGUGUGCUCCUGCUCUAUGAGACUUUUCCCUCUUGUACCUUACAAACCACGCUGCCUUCUGGAGAAUGUACGUCUCAGCGGGUAACUGAUUCACAGAUCCACUGCAAGUCGUUACAGAGUCUCCUCCGCCUCAUCCAGUCCGAACGAGCGGCGAAGCCCGGGUUCAGCAGGCAGAGGCCGCGCCUCAGGGCUCUCCCCACCGCGCCCAGUGUCCGCCGCUCUCACCGCCCUUCUGGGCAGGCUCGGAACCACCAGAGCCUGCGGGACGCCCUUCGCCUCUCCCUCCACUCCAGGGACACUUGCAUAACGGGGAUCUAGAGCAACUCCUUCGCGUUGACCGCGGCUGCACGUUGCCGCGGCUCCGGCUUUCGCUGUCGCUCAGCAGAUCGUCCUCUGAGUCCUCGGGCAGCGACGAGGAGCCAGUAGAGGAGAGCGACGAGGUGGAGAGGCGGCGCGGCUGCUGCAGGUGUGAGGAGCCCACGGCCGGGAGCCAGCCACCCUCCGGCUCCGGUGGCCCCGGGCUGGUCGGGGGUGACCGGGAAGCUCAGACCUCGUGGACACAAAGUCAGGGCCUGGCCUUCGCAGCCUCUCUGUCCCCGCUCUCGAAGAGACCGGAGGGGUCGCUCCGCCCCCGGGCCCUACUGCCUUGGAGCUGGUCCUGCUCUCGCUCUCCUACCCAGUCCCUCCGGCUCCUUUCCACGAUCCAUCCUGGGCCAAGGAUUCCUGGUCUCCGGGCUUUCCUUCAGCAUGGAAUGCAAGGCCAUCAGCUUCCUGGGGAAGCCUCACCCCAGGGCGUGCGCCCAAGUGGGGACUCUGUCCUGGGCAAGACCUGAGGCUUCUUCCCCCCAAGCUCCCCACUUCUCAGCUGGCAGAGAACAAGGUCAGGGGGGCGGGGCCUGAAUCUCGCGGCGAGUCCUGGCGCAGUCCUGGGCAGCAUCCCUUGGCUACUGGCUGGCAGGGGCUGUGCCCUUCUGACUCCUUUUUCUGUGGAAUUCGGAGCGUGUAGUCUGCUGUGUGAUCCUAAGCAAGUCCUUUCACCUCCUUGAACUGUUGAUUCUUUUCCGCAGGGUUGUCGUCUACCUCACAGAAUUGCUAGGAGAAUAAAAUAAAAUGAAAGAUGUAAAAUCUAUACAAUAUGAGAAUAGUUUUAGUGUGGGUGGUAGGAAGAGCCAGUCUCAGGUUCAUCACACUCUAGAUGUGAUCUUUGACGUCUCUUCCCUUUGUAAAUUUAGGGAAACCUCACCUGACCCAGAGUUGUGGCUGUGACAGGGUAAGAGAGCCACGACGCUGGCUCAUCCAUGGCAUCGUGGUGCAGUAUUUGGCCACUUCACAAGUUAGUGGUCCGCUGAACUGCAGGGCUGCUUUAUGUAGAGUUUGUAUUUCACAGCAUUUCUUGUCUUCCCCCAAAAUGCCACCGGGGAGGAUCCCUCCUCAGGUGCCUCGUGCCUCAGGAUUGUUGGGGACCCUGUGGGGCAGGAUGCCCCAGAAGGAUUGCCUCUGAUGCUGAUGAAGGCCAAAAGAAGCUCUCCUUCCCCUCAUCUCCCUUCAGCUAGAUUCAAGGAUGGCCCAGGAGGAGACAAAAGGAGGGUUCAGAGAGAGAAAAUGGGAAGCUUCAGCAGAGCAAAAAGGAGAAGGUCCUGGGGGAAUUGAUGAAGAAAGUAAAAGUGUGGAAGGAUGAGUGGAGGGGAAGGAGACAAAGGAGGAAAUACAGGAGUUUGACUAUUCAGAGAACCUGGGAAAUCACAUGGCUACUUUCUGUGGGCACAGAGAUCUAGAGGAGCCAGGGUGUGUGUGAAGGGCGUACUCUAGAGCUUGAUGGCUCAAAAGCCAUGUCUCCUGCACUCACUUCCCUCUUUCAGGGCUACCUUGGUCUCUGGUGGGACUGGUACUGCCCUCAGGGUAGGGGCAGGCUGGGGGCAAACCCGGGAUGGGGAGGGUCAACAAGGACUCGCCAGAACUGAAAAGGUGGGAGGGAAAUGAGAGGAGGGAACAUGCACUGUGCACCUGUUACUGUUUGUGAGAUAUAUAUAUAUAUAUAUAUAUAUAUAUAUAUAUAUAUAUAUAUAUAUAUAUAUAAACGACAAUGUUGGAAGCACAAGCAAGCCAGGAGCUGGCUGCCAAGAGAAAACUCAAGGGCAAUUCUUUUUUUUCUUCUAUUAGGCACUUGUCCUAAGCCCAGAAACCAAAGAAGAGCUCUUUGCCAUAUUUUCCAAGUAUCCCUCAGUGGAAAGAACACCAGACCAGAUAUGGGAGCAACAACAAAAGGACAAAACUGGAAACCGAGAAAGACGAACACCUGUGGAGCAGAAUCUAUGGGAUGGGGAGGGAUAAGAAGGGCAGAAGACUGCUGCUUUUCACUAUAAAUCAAUACGUCUUAUGGGUCUAUGUGUGCACACAAACACGUGGAUGUGAAGAGUACAUGUUACUUCAAUAAUUAAAAAAAUUAACUGGAGCAAGAUGUAUAGAAGAUUUCAUAUCAUUUUAUUAAUUAAAAUGGUAUUCAGUGAUCCAAAUAAAGUUGUUUACUCACCACAAGGGCCUUCUCAGACUCUACGAUGUUCCACUCCCGGUUCCGCUGGUUGAUGUAACUGUGGGUGAGUAAAAGUGUGAGUCAGUCGGUUGGGGAAGGAGGGAGGGAACCACUGAGCCUUGACCCCUGACCCCGGAGCCUCAUCCAGCCAGUGCAAGCACAGCAUGUGCAAGGCCACGGGCUCACCUGAUAACUGUGGCAAGGUCUGUGGGUCCGGGAAAGGAGCCCAACCAAAACAG